UGGGGAAUAUUGCGCAAUGGGGGAAACCCUGACGCAGCGACGCCGCGUGCGGGAUGAAGGCCUUCGGGUUGUAAACCGCUUUUGAUUGGGAGCAAGCUUUCGGGUGAGUGUACCUUUCGAAUAAGCGCCGGCUAACUACGUGCCAGCAGCCGCGGUAAUACGUAGGGCGCAAGCGUUAUCCGGAAUUAUUGGGCGUAAAGAGCUUGUAGGCGGUUCGUCGCGUCUGGUGUGAAAGCCCAUCGCUUAACGGUGGGUUUGCGCCGGGUACGGGCGUGCUAGAGUGCAGUAGGGGAGACUGGAAUUCCCGGUGUAACGGUGGAAUGUGUAGAUAUCGGGAAGAACACCAAUGGCGAAGGCAGGUCUCUGGGCUGUUACUGACGCUGAAAAGCGAAAGCGUGGGGAGCGAACAGG
rnacentral:rRNA from 1 species